rnacentral:rRNA from 1 species
UACGAAGGGGGCUAGCGUUGCUCGGAAUGACUGGGCGUAAAGGGCGCGUAGGCGGAUGACACAGUCAGAUGUGAAAUUCCCGGGCUUAACCUGGGGGCUGCAUUUGAGACGUGCUGUCUAGAGUGAGGAAGAGGAGAAUGGAAUUCCCGGUGUAGCGGUGAAAUGCGCAGAUAUCGGGAAGAACACCCGUGGCGAAGGCGGUUCUCUGGGACGGUACUGACGCUGAGACGCGAAAGCUAGGGUAGCAAACGGG